rnacentral:piRNA from 1 species
GCUAUGGCUUAUGUUGUUAGUUGUGCUAGG